UACGGAAGGCAGCAGUGGGGAAUAUUGCACAAUGGGCGAAAGCCUGAUGCAGCUAUGCCGCGUGUAUGAAGAAGGCCUUAGGGUUGUAAAGUACUUUCAUCGGGGAGGAAAAACAAAACUAAUAAUUUUAUUUCUUGACGUUACCCGAAAAAGAAGCACCGGCUAACUCCGUGCCAGCAGCCGCGGUAAUACGGAGGGUGCUAGCGUUAAUCAGAAUUACUGGGCGUAAAGAGCACGUAGGGUGGUUUUUUUAAGUCAGAUGUGAAAUCCCUGGGCUUAACCUAGGAACUGCAUUUUGAAACUGAAAUACUAGAGUAUCGUAGAGGGAGGUAGAAUUCUAGGUGUAGCGGUGAAAUGCGUAGAUAUCUGGAGGAAUACCUGUGGCGAAAGCGGCCUCCUAAACGAAUACUGACACUGAGGGUGCGAAAGCGUGGGGAGCAAACAGGGAUUAGGAUACC
rnacentral:rRNA from 1 species